CAGUCGCCACGGUAAUACGUAGGGCGCAAGCGUUAUCCGGAAUUAUUGGGCGUAAAGAGCUCGUAGGCGGUUUGUCGCGUCUGCCGUGAAAGUCCGGGGCUCAACCCCGGAUCUGCGGUGGGUACGGGCAGACUAGAGUGAUGUAGGGGAGACUGGAAUUCCUGGUGUAGCGGUGAAAUGCGCAGAUAUCAGGAGGAACACCGAUGGCGAAGGCAGGUCUCUGGGCAUUAACUGACGCUGAGGAGCGAAAGCAUGGGGAGCGAACAGGAUUAGAUACCCCCGUAGUCCCUGUCUCUUAUAU
rnacentral:rRNA from 1 species